GUAGCUAACGCGUUAAGCACUCCGCCUGGGGACUACGGUCGCAAGACUAAAACUCAAAGGAAUUGACGGGGACCCGCACAAGCGGUGGAGCAUGUGGUUUAAUUCGAUGCAACGCGAAAAACCUUACCACUCCUUGACAUGGAGAUUAGAUCCUUCUUAACGGAAGGGCGCAGUUCGGCUGGAUCUCGCACAGGUGCUGCAUGGCUGUCGUCAGCUCGUGUCGUGAGAUGUUGGGUUAAGUCCCGCAACGAGCGUAACCCUCAUCCUUAGUUGCCAGCGGGUUAAGCCGGGCACUUUAAGGAAACUGCCAGUGGUAAACUGGAGGAAGGUGGGGAUGAUGUCAAGUCAGCACGGCCCUUAUGGGGUGGGCUACACACGUGCUACAAUGGUGACUACAAUAGGUUGCAAUGUCGCAAGGCUGAGCUAAUCCGUAAAAGUCAUCUCAGUUCGGAUUGUCCUCUGCAACUCGAGGGCAUGAAGUCGGAAUCGCUAGUAAUCGUGGAUCAGCAUGCCACGGUGAAUACGUUCUCGGGUCUUGUACACACUGCCCGUCACGCCAUGGGAAUUGGCUUAACUCGAAGCUGGUGCGCUAACCGAAAGGAACAAGCAGCCAA
rnacentral:rRNA from 1 species